rnacentral:lncRNA from 1 species
AUGGGUGCAUGCCGGGCGCCUGGCACAUGCGGGGAAGGGGGUGCGCGUGGCGCUGGGGGCAUGGCGCCCGGGGAGCAGGGGGUGCACCGUUACAGCACCGCAGCCAUGGCGCCUCGUGCUGCUGCCUGUCUGUUCACAACCCCUGCUCCUGCUGCAAGGGGGCAGAUGGGUGCCGAGGUCCAGCUGUGCGUCGGCACACCUGCGCAGGGCGGCCACGUGGCCGGGUUGUGCGGGUAUGCGGGAGGUGUGCUUCGACCCCAACGUGAGCCGAUUUGGCCGAAGAGAGCUCCUGCGCUGGAGGAGAGAAGAGCCAGCCACCGACUGAGAGACAGUGCAGUCACCCAUAAAGUAGAAAGCACUACUAAACAGCACUGCAGGGUGUAGUGUUUCCUACUUUAUGGAUGAGUGUACUGUGGGCUACGGAGAAGAGAGCACUGCCGACAGCGAGCCGCUCGCCUGCCUGUCCCCUGCCAGAGCAAUCGCCUGUGACCUGCGUGCCUGUCACAAGUUGUGCACGGUCUGAGAGCUGAGGACAGGCUGGGCCCGGGUUACUAGAGGGUGCCCGGGCGUCCAUGCUAAGCCGCUCUGUCUCUGCAGGCUGCGCCGCUCAGAGAAGCACGUGAACUGCCACGUGUCCCGUGGCCACCGCAGCAGCAGUGUCCCUGGGGAGCCCGUGAGCACUAGGGAGGGAAGCGGGUGUCCCAAAGGGGCUGAGGAGACUCUCAGUCCCUGCUGACCCUCUGCCACCCAUGGCCCAGGAUGCCCAGGACUGGCCGUUCUGGGAAGAGGGGCUCACGCACCUCCACGUGGCCAUGCCCACGUGGCCUGCCUGCAUGGCACCAGCCUCCUGCAGAACCAUGGAGGGGCUAGUUGGUAUAGGAGCAAGCAAAGUGCUUGCAGCGAAGCUCCCAGGGACGACAGGUAGGUAGCAAAGCCUCCGAUCCCUAUUUUUUUUCCCCAUCCUUUUGUUGCCACGUUACAAAUUCCUGCAAAGAGCUGGGUCAGCUGUGUGUGGUGGCAGCCACAUGCAGACAGCAGAGAGGUAUGGGAGCCAAAGGUUUCCAAGGUGGUGGUGGUGGGGGGAGCUGAUGGCUCUUGAAUGGCUUUACAUUGCUGUAUGAUUGCUAAGGGCACUGGGGUGAGGGGCUGAUGAAUAAAACUCUUUCAGCACAGACUUGUGGACUUUUU